rnacentral:ncRNA from 2 species
GACGCGGGCCGUGACUGGCGCAUCGCAGGUGGGAUCGACCACCGGGGAGCGGCCCCGUCGACUCGACGCCUGCCGCGCGCCUGGGCUCCCGUC